AUUGAACGCUGGCGGCAGGCUUAACACAUGCAAGUCGAGCGGAGUGAUGGUGCUUGCACUAUCACUUAGCGGCGGACGGGUGAGUAAUGCUUAGGAAUCUGCCUAUUAGUGGGGGACAACAUCUCGAAAGGGAUGCUAAUACUGCAUACGCCCUACGGGGGAAAGCAGGGGAUCUUCGGACCUUGCGCUAAUAGAUGAGCCUAAGUCGGAUUAGCUAGUUGGUGGGGUAAAGGCCUACCAAGGCGACGAUCUGUAGCGGGUCUGAGAGGAUGAUCCGCCACACUGGGACUGAGACACGGCCCAGACUCCUACGGGAGGCAGCAGUGGGGAAUAUUGGACAAUGGGCGGAAGCCUGAUCCAGCCAUGCCGCGUGUGUGAAGAAGGCCUUUUGGUUGUAAAGCACUUUAAGCGAGGAGGAGGCUACUAGUAUUAAUACUACUGGAUAGUGGACGUUACUCGCAGAAUAAGCACCGGCUAACUCUGUGCCAGCCGCCGCCGUAACAC
rnacentral:rRNA from 1 species